GGGGCUGAUUGGCUUUGACAGCGUGUAGAAGCGGUAGGUAAGCAUGCAGAGUUGUGGUGGUCCAACUCUAUAAUAAGAAGAUCAUCGAACUAUAAUUGGCGAAACUAACAAUUACGCUCUCGCUGCGUGAUCUGAAGCAUAGUAAGAUCCCUUAAUUCCUUUCAAAGUGAGAGGAACGAGACAUCACUCCAUUGCCCGGUCUCGAGACGUUUGGAUAAAGUGGUGCUAAGAAAAUCGGGAAUAGGAUCUCCGGAGUUCCGACGGGGGUUCGAGAAAAAGGGACUAAGGUAUCGGUUGGAAGUCGUGAUCCUGCCGAUGCACGAAAACCAAGUCACAGACUAAGCAUGUAGAAAGCUUAUUGAUUCCGCGUUUGGACGAGGGUUCAAUCCCCUCCAGCUCCACC
rnacentral:tmRNA from 1 species